ensembl:lncRNA
AUGCGAGUCGUUUUUCAUGUCAACACUUUUUUUUAAUCAAAUGUUUUAUUUUAUAUUAUUUAUUUACAUAUAUUGUAUUAUUUUUAUUAUCAUUAUUAUUAUUACAAUGCUAAUACAUCAAUCUAAGUCCGUGAUUUCACAUAUUUGGUUUUACACUUUUUAUUUUAUUUUUUAUUUUAUUUUUUGUGUAAAGAACAUAGCUCAUAAUAUCAAUAGAGAGUUGAAUGCAUAAUUUCAAUAAGACACACCACAUCAUUCUAGUUUAAGCACACAAUCAGCAGACCAAUCCCAUCAGAGUUCCCACUAAUUAGGAAAACUUCCCUCUGAUGUCACCACACUGGAGGAGCAAAUAGCAACAGAGAGGGAGAGAAAAAAGUCAGAGAGGAAGGGAUAGAGGAUCAUAUAGACACUCUUAACUUCAUCCACAGCUGUUAAAACUCCAGUCCAAUCUGUGCUUUCCCACUGCACGGCGAAGAUGGCGUUGGGAGAAAUAUGUUGCACUAUCGAUAUAAGCAAGACUAGGAGCUCUUCAAAAACAGCAGGCUUCCUGUUUUUUCUUUUAUUGCAAAUGAGUCUGCUCUCUAAAGUAUGGACAACUUCCACAACAGCUAGUCCAGCAACCACUCUGAAAACAGAUGCCAAAUCAUCUACAGUGUCAGACCCUGUUACCCAGAGUUUGACAACUCAGUCUACGUAUCCGGUAAGCAUGUCCUCCUCCAUUUCUACUGACCAGAUGGCCACAUCAGGCUCUACAGUGACAGGAGCUUCAUCCACCUCAACACAGAACACUGCUUCUAACAGUGCUACUGUCGCCUCAGCUGGUAUUACUAGUAUGGAGACAGCAAACAUAUCUUCUUCAGAAAAUUACACGGCGCUAUCCUGUCCAGCAUUUGCUUGCACAAAAGAUUGUUAUGACCAGUUCAUGAAUAUGACGGCGAAGCCCUGCCAAUCCAGUGAAUACUUCUGUAAGAUAAUGAAAGGCGAUGCAGGUUACUCUGUCAGCUGCAGUGCCUCAUGUGGCGUGCCCUGUGAGAACGGGACUCUUAGUAAUUGCUCUGUCAACUGUUGCAACACAACUAACUGCCUCAACAACAGUCUGCUUGCCAUGUUCAAUUCACUCAAUACCACAGCUACAACAAAACCAACUACUACAACCACAACCAUAAAGACCACAGUUCCAACCACCCCAGCAAGCAAUGUAAGAACACACAAAGCUAUUUGUCACUUUAGGGCAAAAAUGAACAUUUUCUGCCACCUUCUGACUUUUCUUUGCUUUUCUUACUCCCAAAAGGGCAAGAAGUGUCAUAAUUUCAAGUGUAAUGGAGCAGCGUGUUACAAAGCCAAUGUCGCCAGUAAUGCUGCAUGUCCAGUUGGUCUGGACUACUGCAUGGUAAAGUAA